UGCAUAUUGCAAUACUUAUUAAUAGCAAUUAACUAUAAUAUAUAUAUAUGUGCAGUUUGUUAUGAAUCCAACUUCAAACUUAAAUUAGCGUACAGAUUAUGUUGACCAAAAUUAAAUCUAAUAAAUGACGGCGGUGAUUAAUUUUUGUUUCCAUAACACAUAAAUAUAAUAGAAAAGACGUCAACACAUUUGACAAAAUCCGAUGAGAAUUACAAAUAUAACAUUAAACAUUUAAACUAAAUACACGAAUUUGGGAUAGACAAGUACCGUAACACGUCUUAUAGUAAUGCGAAUUCACACUCAGCAAAACAGUCACAAUCGGGAAUGAGUCACGUUUGGUAAUU
rnacentral:lncRNA from 1 species